CCACAAAGCAGGAGCAGUGAUGUCUUUUCUAUCUGUGUAUAUAUAAAUAUAAAAAGAAGAGCUUCCUACAAACAGAGGUUCAUUGUAGGAUCUGUAUAUGAAGCAAGGCUUACCCUGAGUUUGUCCUGACCUACCUAGAGGAACUAAAUGAAAGAGAGGAGGUGACCCAGACAGAAAACCGCAUUCACCAUGGGGCCUGGUCUGCAGCUCAUCAGGAGAUAGACAGCAGCUCAGCAGAAGAGGUUCUGAAAAAAAAAAAAUGUCAGCAACCCCAAUCAGAAACAACUUUCAGGACCUUUGGACGCCUGUUUAAUGCCUGCGGAUCCCCUAGGGGAGACUCCACAGCUGACAGUGGCACUGGUGAGGAAACCAGAAGAGAAACAUCCUAAGGCCUCAGCUCAAAGGGUGAAAACACUGGAGUAAAUGACGCAGCUUUACUGAUGAACAGAAGGAAAAUGAAUCUUAUAUUGUACUCAAAAAACAUGGCCUCCUACACCAUUCACAACUAGCUGUGGAAGUAAAAGGCAAGAACUGCUGGAGCCAAAAUUUCUGUGGGCAGAUGUUCUACUACUUUGGGAGAAGAAAAAAAAUUAAGGAGCUGGAGGAAGAUAUAGAAGAAAAAAGUGACAAUAUGGAAAAGUACUUAAAUCAUAAUUUCCGCUAUUUCCUGCCAAGAAUCCCGCAAAUGAAUUUGAAGAAAGUUAAUGAGCUAGUCUAAUGAUGGAUUGCUUUCAAGACUGAUCUCAAGGAACUUUCUUCCCAUCCAGUGCAUGAAUCAUCGCCAUUCAGCAGUGGACUGUUGGACAGACAGGGGCCAAGUGCGUAUUAUCUGGCUGAGUGCAAAGACUGACAAGUUUCCUUAGUGAAGGGACAAACUGUUCUGAGAGAUGCCGGCUUGAAAAGCCAUUGAUAGUGUCAUGGAUUGUAAAUGAGCAAUAUGAACAACCAGGAAAGGAGCAUGAAGGAAGAGCUGGAAUCUGGAACAUUGCUGAAGGAAUGACUAUGGACACUGCAGGUA